rnacentral:ribozyme from 1 species
UACCCAGCAACUCCUAUCCCUACUUCCUCGUGGUACUGGCCGGGGUACGAGCAACUUUAGGGAAGAUCGGGUAACCAACAAGGUGGGAACUCUGGUCGUAUGCUGACAGGAAAAG